AUGAACGCUAGCGGCAGGCUUAACACAUGCAAGUCGAGCGGAGAGGAGGGAGCUUGCUUCCGAAUCUUAGCGGCGGACGGGUGAGUAACGCGUGAGCAACCUGCCUUGAACUGGGGGAUAACGCAUCGAAAGAUGUGCUAAUACCGCGUAAGACCACAGCACCGCAUGGUGCAGGGGUCAAAGGAGCAAUCCGGUUUAAGAUGGGCUCGCGUCCGAUUAGCUAGUUGGUGAGAUAACAGCCCACCAAGGCAACGAUCGGUAGCCGACCUGAGAGGGUGAUCGGCCACAUUGGAACUGAGACACGGCCCAGACUCCUACGGGAGGCAGCAGUAGGGAAUCUUCGGCAAUGGGCGAAAGCCUGACCGAGCAACGCCGCGUGAAUGAUGAAGGCCUUCGGGUUGUAAAAUUCUGUUAUAAGGGAAGAAUGACUCUAGUAGGAAAUGGCUAGAGUGUGACGGUACCUUAUGAGAAAGCCACGGCUAACUACGUG
rnacentral:rRNA from 1 species